UAGCGGCGGCGGCGUGAUUCUUCCGCCGCGUCGGGCGCCGGCUUGGAGGCUUCGUCCGCGGCCGCCGGGGGCUGCUGCGGGGCCGGCCAGCUGCCGCCUUGCCACCGCCGACCCUAGCAGCCCGCCCCUGCUGCCCCACUGCUGCCGCCUGAAGAGGGGCAACCUGAAGGGAGAGGAGGAGGAGGACGCGGUGGCUGUACUGAGAAGCCUGCCGCGAAGCCCCCGUCUCCUGGGAAGGGAGAGCCGAGGGCUGGCCCGGGCUGGAGCGGUGCUGCGGUACAGAGGGGGAGAAAUACCUUCACCGUUUACGAGAGUGUAUAAAAUAAAACCAUUAAAAAUGAAUUGCCUACCUUUUCGAUGCUUCAAUCAAUGCUAUCUCACUGAGGACCUUGCUUGAUAGAAAGCUGCCCUAAAGUAGAGAGAAGAGGUGGAUUUUUAUCCAGCUUGACUUUGAAGAGGUGAACUGCAUUACUGGAUCAUGCAAGUACUGAUACCUGGCUUAGUGCAAAAUCAGUUAAGUUAAUGGAAAGCACCUUCAGCAGUAUUCCAUCACUGCACCACUGAUGAAUGGAUACCCACAAGACAGGGAGAAGUUAUCUCAGCAUGUGGAAUAGCAAGGGAUGGUUGCUGUACAGUAAGAAUUUAAACCACUCUAGUUGUUCUUGAAAUGAUUGUGUGUGCCUAUACUUUAUGUGUGCAAGAUGCAGACCUUUCUCAUCUGCUGUUCUGUGACUGUGAAACUUGUUCCCAGAUGUGCUUACAAUCAUCAUAAAUUUUGGAGACAUUCAGAACAAAAUGUAAAUCACACUUAUUUAGCCAUCCAUACUUUUGUUAAUGGCAAAGACUAAAAACGUAUAAAAGCCCAGACCGAUGAAAGAAAAGCUAUCAAUAGAACAUAAAUUAAGAGAUAAAGACAAAACAAGAAAGUUCAUUAGCAUCUUUGGAUGACACUUCUUUAUCCUGAUUUUUAAUGUCCUGCACAGACCAAGAUUAAGUAGAGUGUGUGGGAUUCUGAGUAAUCUGAUUGCCAUUGAUCAAUCCCACUUUCUCUCAGUCUUCAUUGGAACUGGGUAAUUAUUGAUUUAUAUCUGAUACAAGUAAGCAAGGAGGCAUGACAGCUGAUGAGAGGGAUCUAAUAGUGAAACUUGUAUGGAUGACUUAAAAAUACAUAAAUAAGAUUGGGAAGGAGGGACAUAUGUCAUUUAAAGUAUAUUGAUUUCUCCAAGUGAUAAAAGAACUGGGACUGUAACUCCAGUUGUCAAGGUGGAGGAAGGGAUUAUGGUGAGAAAGUUCAGUUGUAAAUUCAGGCGGAGAUUAUCAAUUAAGCAGUGAUGAAAAAUACAAAACAAUGUGGAUUUUAAGUCCAGAUAGCCAUAAAUUCUCUAAAACAUGGUUUAUACCAACACUAAUAUUUUAAUUUUAUUUGUGACCAACAGCUUUAGAUGCUCUUAUUCAUAAGUUAACAUCUGCUCCUUUGCUGAAACAUUCUGAACUCUUGACACCUUCUAGCAUUUGAUAUAGUGAACAGUUUCAAAGUUUAGCUGUGUUGGUAACAUUUGCUUUCAUUAGUUUUAAAUUUGAUAAGAUGAGUUUCAAAAGAUAAAGAGUGCUCAGUUUAGUUUCUCUAGACACUGUAUUGUAAGAAUAAACAUGCUGCUGUCUCUUUUCUAAAUUGGGUGGUCCCAAUUUAUGUAUUAGCUUACCUGCUUUUUUUUCCCUGUCUUUCUAAUGUAUUUGUCAUUGUCCUUCAGUGAGUAUGCUCUUAGUGAGGUAAGGAAUUAAGCACAAUACUAAGAUGAGAAUGAACUCCAGAUUUAUAGUAAAUUAUUUCAUACCCAAAGAUGCUGGUUUUUGACUGCAACUGUUUUGAUCACCUUUCAGCUCACUUCACAGUCAGGUUACAAGACCACACAUGUCUUCCAUAAUCUAUCAUGCUAUUUAACCCCCAAAAAAUUCUCCUUGUGGAAAAAUUUAAAAUUCAGUUCCAAGAUCCUUAACUAGAACAGACAAAUCUUUUUUAUUGCUUUCUUGUUCAGAUUUUCAAUGUAAAUAAUGAAAGCUUUAUAAUGAAAAAACACUUGAGUUAGCAAAUGUCAAGGUGUUAUGACUUUUGUCCUAAAAAGGGAGAAAAAAUCUUCUAUCAUUGAGCAAAUCUAUAUUAUCCAAAGUACUUUGAUACAUAAAAUAGGUUUUUCCUUUGGAGAUGCAUUAUUUUACAGAGUUUUUUCCAGCCCUUUAAGGAAAUUUCUUUUCCCUUAUUAACAGUCAGAUUCUAUCAAGAACAAUAACUACACUACAUCUUUUAGGACAAUAAAAAAUUCUCUCGGCAAGCAAGAACUCACUUGGAAAGAUAAUAUUUAAUUUCAAACAAGAAUGCAAGCAACGAAUAGCAUAUAGAUAUGUCAGAAUCACACUAAAAUUAAAUGUACCUAAAAUAAUAAUGUAUUUAGUUUUACAAUGCGUUUGCUUGUACUUUUUUAUGAUUUAUUUCCUUGGUGUAGAUGUAAGGUUAUAAUUAAAUAACAAAGUAAAAUAAUAAGUUUUGAAAGAGGUUUUUUCCACUUUAACUAAGCCAAAAUUUGAUUGUAACUUUAAAAUUACAUGAGUAAUUAUGUUAAUGUGUAGGUUUAUAAUUUGGGAGGGAUUGCAUUUGGGAAUUUUAUCACCUAGGGAAACUCCUUAGAUCUAUGUAUAGCAAGCCAAGAACAUGAGAAAAAUUGGACUAGGGAAUAAGCUUUAAAAUAUACAAAGGCCUAAAUUUUCCCAGCUGUUCUUUGUUAGCACAUCUCAACCUUUCUGGACCUCAACUGGCUCUGUGCAAGCACAAAGAUCUCUUUGUACUGCACUAUUUUUAAAAUGAAGUCCUCAAACAGGAUGAAGUUUCCUGAUGUUUUGAUUUCUGUUUUUAGGUACACAUGAAGCCUAUGCACAUAUUCAGGCUCUUUAAACCUGUACUAUUCACCAGUGAUAGCUUAUGCCCAAAUGCAGCUGAAAUCACAGUAAAUGAGAUCAGUACUCAUAAUUAAGCUUCUGUCAUCGUUCCAGCAAUUUCUCCAGUAAUUUAGACCCAAAAUUUAACAAUAUUUUACAAAUAGUAAGAAAUCUCUUUUACAGCUUCAAAGAUAGAAGCCUCUGAGUUCUAGAUACAUCUUUUGAAAAUAAAAAGAAAUACACUUUUUUGUCAUUUGAACAUUGUAAAAUCUCAAAAAGCCACUGAUAAAGCAUGAUGCUGCAGUAUAUUUAUGUUACUGCAGAAGAAGAAAGAUUGUCAGAGGGAAAACAAGCUAAGAAAUCCUGUUUUGCAACAACUGUGCCAAUAAUGCUGAUGAAAUCAUCAGUUAUGUUUUUGACAAGCAAGAGAAAUCAGUGUACUGUAUAUAUUGCUGUGCUGACUUGUACUUCCUAGGAAAAAGAAAGGGUGAGGGGAGAGGGAUGGGAAGGAUCGAUAUUUGCCAGAUGAAGAAGGAG